rnacentral:rRNA from 1 species
AACGAACGCUGGCGGCAUGCCUAACACAUGCAAGUCGAACGAAGCCUUCGGGCUUAGUGGCGCACGGGUGCGUAACGCGUGGGAAUCUGCCCCUCGGUUCGGAAUAACAGUUAGAAAUGACUGCUAAUACCGGAUGAUGACGAAAGUCCAAAGAUUUAUCGCCGAGGGAUGAGCCCGCGUAGGAUUAGCUUGUUGGUGGGGUAAUGGCCCACCAAGGCGACGAUCCUUAGCUGGUCUGAGAGGAUGAUCAGCCACACUGGGACUGAGACACGGCCCAGACUCCUACGGGAGGCAGCAGUGGGGAAUAUUGGACAAUGGGCGAAAGCCUGAUCCAGCAAUGCCGCGUGAGUGAUGAAGGCCUUAGGGUUGUAAAGCUCUUUUACCAGGGAUGAUAAUGACAGUACCUGGAGAAUAAAGCUCCGGCUAACUCCGUGCCAGCAGCCGCGGUAAU